rnacentral:rRNA from 1 species
CCUACGGGUGACAGCAGUGAGGAAUAUUGGUCAAUGGGCGCGAGCCUGAACCAGCCAAGUAGCGUGAAGGAUGACGGCCCUACGGGUGGUAAAAUUCAUUUAUAAAGGAAUAAAGUGAGGCACGUGUGCCUUUUUGUAUGUACGUUAUGAAUAAGGAUCGGCUAACUCCGUGCCAGCAGCCGCGGUAAUACGGAGGAUCCGAGCGUUAUCCGGAUUUAGUGGGUUUAAAGGGAGCGUAGAUGUGUUGUUAAGUCCGUUGUUAAAGUUGGCGGCUCAACCGUAAACUUUCAAUUGAUACUGGCAGCCUUGAGUACAGUUGAGGUAGGCGGAAUUCGUUGUGUAGCGGU